GACGAACGCUGGCGGCGUGCCUAAUACAUGCAAGUUGAGCGCUGAAGGUUGGUACUUGUACCGACUGGAUGAGCAGCGAACGGGUGAGUAACGCGUGGGGAAUCUGCCUUUGAGCGGGGGACAACAUUUGGAAACGAAUGCUAAUACCGCAUAAAAACUUUAAACACAAGUUUUAAGUUUGAAAGAUGCAAUUGCAUCACUCAAAGAUGAUCCCGCGUUGUAUUAGCUAGUUGGUGAGGUAAAGGCUCACCAAGGCGAUGAUACAUAGCCGACCUGAGAGGGUGAUCGGCCACAUUGGGACUGAGACACGGCCCAAACUCCUACGGGAGGCAGCAGUAGGGAAUCUUCGGCAAUGGACGAAAGUCUGACCGAGCAACGCCGCGUGAGUGAAGAAGGGUUUCGCAUCGUAAAACUCUGUUGGUAGAGAAGAACGUUGGUGAGAGUGGAAAGCUCAUCAAGUGACGGUAACUACCCAGAAAGGGACGGCUAACUACGUG
rnacentral:rRNA from 1 species